rnacentral:lncRNA from 1 species
ACAGAAUGAGGCAUAUUCAUCAGUACUUUAUCAGAGUGAAGAGCACAACAGAAUCAUUUCAUGAAGGCCUUGUUAAAUCGCAAGCGUUGGAUCAUUAACAUCAUUCCAGCAGAAGGCCUGAUGAGAGACUUCAUUAGACUACAUCAUUUGUGAAAUAAGUUAAAGUACAAUUUAUGUCAUUAUCCAUCGUAAGAAAAACUUUACAUAAGCAACAAAUACGGUGAGGAGCAGCAGCUGACUUACUUACAAUGCACUGCCACAACCCAGCACACCAAGUGUUACAUACCCAUGCCUUUGACAGUGAGAAGUUUUUGAGGAGAUUCUGCAAAGAAAUAGCAGCAUUUGAAGGAUAUUUCCCCUUUCUAAGGUCAGUGAGAGGUUCUUUUCUUUUCCUUUCUUCAAUCACCAAUAAGUGGAUUUUACUAAGACUGAACAGUGUCUUCGGAUGUAUGAUUUCUGAUGUAAUAAGAUAUAGGUCUUGGCUUUUCAAAUGGUCACACUGAUUGAGCUGUGAUGGCUGCUGCUCUUGAAAUGGCUCUUCCAGUUCUUCUCUUUAUUGGUCUGCCCUGUAAAUGGGCUGUCAUAUCAUUCUUGGGAAAAAAUGCUCUUCUGCUGAAAUUAGAGUUGAUGGUCUUGUGCUUGAUUUGUACAAUGCCUUUAUCCUCCUCUCCCAAGCAUGCUCUGUUUGGCAUGAUUGACACAAUGCAGGUACUGGUUAGCCAGUGCAGAGCAGCUGAGGGUCUCCUGAGCAUGUUGCUGGUAACACUGCAGAAUUUUGCCCUGCAGAUCAGCACAGACUGGUUGAGUUUCAUACCUCUUGAACCGGGCUGACACUUCAUCAGCAGCUUUCUGGUACUGCUCUGUGGUUACUUUGUAGAAUUGGGCACUCCUUUCUUCCAGUCGAGCCAGCUGCUCUUUGUAGUAGGCAUCAUGCUUCUUUAGUUCUCGGUCUUUCUCUUCCAGCUGCCUGGCAAAGCGCUGCGCCUUCUGACGCUCCUCUUCUGUGGCAGCUCUCUCACGAAGAAUGGCUCGAGUCAAAUGCUCAUUCGAAGACAUCCUUUCUCGUUCCAGGAUUUUGCCAAACUCAUCACGUACAUAUGCCUGUUCUUGUUUCAGUCUUCUCUUUUGUGCUUCAGCGUCUCUCCUGGCUCGUUCUAAUGCCAAUUCUUCUGCUAUUCUUUUCUUUAGUUCUUCAUCAUUAACUGCACCAGGUGAUCGGCGCUGAGACUGUGGUCUUCCACUGGGUGAAGAAGGUUCCUUCAUACGAUCAAUGACACUAUCAGACAGCCGCACGCCCUUCACCACCGUGAUGUUCUCAUUCUCGUCCGCCUCAAAGGUGACACGCCGAGUGCUGCCGCUGGCACCCAUCUUCACCCGGCGCUACCAGGCCGCAGCCAGGGACGGCCCCAAGGAGACUCUCUGUACCCGCUGCCAGCGCGCCCCUCAACAACGCCGCCUCGCAUUGGACUGUCUCUCGCCUCACCCCGCCCUCCGCGCCUAGAAGCCUUCUUCCUAUUGGCUGCUGGGCCGUAGCCAUGGAAACCGCGCACACCCGCCGAAGAGCGGCGAGGUACCCG